rnacentral:ncRNA from 1 species
ACCACGGAGAGUUUGAUCCUGGCUCAGAACGAACGCUGGCGGCGUGGAUUAGGCAUGCAAGUCGAACGCGAAAGAGGGGGCAACUCCUCGAGUAGAGUGGCGAACGGGUGAGUAACGCGUGAAGAACCUGCCUUCAACAGGGGGAUAACACUCCCAACGGGGUGCUAAUACCGCAUGAGACCACGGAUUCGCAUGGAUCCGAGGUCAAAGGUGGCCUCUGCUUGCAAGCUACCGGUUGAAGAUGGCUUCGCGUCCCAUUAGCUAGUUGGCGGUGUAACGGACCACCAAGGCGACGAUGGGUAGCUGGUCUGAGAGGAUGGUCAGCCACACUGGGACUGAGAUACGGCCCAGACUCCUACGGGAGGCAGCAGUCGAGAGGCUUUGGCAAUGGGGGAAACCCUGACCAAGCGACGCCGCGUGGAGGAUGAAGGCCCUUGGGUUGUAAACUCCUUUUGUCGGGGAAGAAAUGCGAUCAGGUAAAUAAUCUGGUCGUUUGACGGUACCCGGCGAAUAAGCUCCGGCUAACUCCGUGCCAGCAGCCGCGGUAACACGGGGGGAGCAAGCGUUGUUCGGAAUCACUGGGCGUAAAGGGCGUGUAGGCGGUUCAGUAAGUGGAAUGUGAAAUGCCCCGGCUUACCCGGGGACCGGCAUCCCAAACUGCUGGACUUGAGUAUGGGAGAGGAUGAGGGAAUUCCUGGUGUAGCGGUGAAAUGCGUAGAUAUCAGGAGGAACACCGGUGGCGAAGGCGCUCAUCUGGCCCAAUACUGACGCUGAGGCGCGAAAGCUAGGGGAGCGAACGGGAUUAGAUACCCCGGUAGUCCUAGCCGUAAACGGUGAUCACUAGGUGUUGGAGGCAUCGACCCUUCCAGUGCCGCAGCUAACGCAUUAAGUGAUCCGCCUGGGGAGUACGGCCGCAAGGUUGAAACUCAAAGGAAUUGACGGGGGCCCGCACAAGCGGUGGAGCAUGUGGUUUAAUUCGACGCAACG